AUCCCAGGAGAGAAAAAAGAAUAUGUACUACCUCCUAAUGGCACACAAAGGAAAUAUGGACCAUCAGCACCAUCAUGGAUAUCCAUCUACUCCAGGAUCUGAAGUCUGCUUAAUACAAGACACAUUUGCAUUUUGAAACAGAGGAGAUCUAUUGGCUAUCCUGGUGUUAGGACAAGGAGAAGUUGUUGCCCCUCCAUAGAAUGUAAGCAGCUAGAUGGCAAAGACUAUUUCGAUUUUUUGUCUCUGUUUUCUCAGUGCCUGGAGCCCAGUAAGUAUUUAAUCUAUGUUUGUCUAUUUUCUUAUAUCUUCUACUAUUAUAUGAGAUUAGAAAAUGCCCAUUGAAUUAAAUUGAAUAUACCAAUGGAUCCUAAUGAGAACAUCAGCCAGCAGGAAACAAAAUGAACUAUUGAUUUAGGAAGUGACAGUUCAAUAAGAGAAGGGAAAACACACUGAUCUUUCUGGGCUUCCUGGAACAUUAGCCAAUUAUUUAUAUGCAGAGAUAUUGCUAAUGACUAGUGUGUCACUGAAAAGGCUAGAGAGGUGUUAUGUA
rnacentral:lncRNA from 1 species